GAGAUUAUAAAUAUUUUUGGUUUAGUAGUUAAAUUAUUAUUGAUAACUUUUGAAUUUAAUAUUUUUAGGUGAAAUUUUAAUUUUAUUUCAACUGGUUUAUUUUGAAGCUAUGAAAUUUAUUUUUUAAACAAGGAUUAGAUACCCUUUUAUUUUAAAUGUAAAUAUAAACUGGGGUAGUAUUAGUUAUGUUCUUGAAACCCAAAGAAUUUGGCGGUAUUUUAUUCCUUUUAGAGGAACCUGUUCCGUGAUUGAUAAUCCACGAUGGUAAAUUACUUAUUUUUGUUAUCAGUUUGUAUACCUCCGUCAUCAGAAUAUCUUUUUAGAGUUUAAUAUUCUUAUUAUAUCAAUUAUAAUAUGUCAGGUCAAGGUGCAAUUUAUGGAUAAGUGGAAAUGGGUUACAAUAAAUUUAUUUAUACGAAUUUAGUUUAUUAUAAAAUUAAUGAAGGUGGAUUUAAUAGUAAAAUUAAUGUCUUUUUAUUUUGAUUUUGGCUCUAAUAUAUGCACACAUCGCCCGUCGCUCUUAUUUUAAAAUAAGAUAAGUCGUAACAUAGUAGGAGUACCGGAAGGUGUUCCUAGAAAGUAACAAAUUAGAGCUUGAUAGAAAGCAUUUCAUUUACKCU
rnacentral:rRNA from 1 species